GAACUUGGUAAAUUAUCUGACCACAUCAUCUAGUUAAUUGGCCACGUCAUCUAUCUCGUUAAGCCUAUGACAGAAAAUGUUAAUGAGUGACUGAUUUGUCACUUUUAAAUAACGUUAGUAACUGUUUUGUUAUUUUUCUAAAGUUGACUGAUUGAAAUGAAACUAGGUGACUGUUUUGUUAGCUACCCCAAAGUUGAGUGAUUGUUGGUGUAAUUUACCCUUCUUAGUAAACUAUCCCUACUUAAACUUCGUUCCUUCCAAGUCCGAAAUAUCAGCCAACAAUCCCACCGGUUGAUCUUCUAGAGAGGAUAACGCCGUAAGUCUGGUUCCAAUUGAAUUUUCCUCCGAAUAUCUUGCAUGUUGAUUCUAUUUUCCAGAUUGAUUUUACCUAUAUUUGCGCUCAACUACCAUCCAAGGACCUCCCAUCCUUGCUUGAGUUGAUUCAUUGUACAUCACUUCGACCAAGUCCUCUUUUCUACCGCGAGUACUUUGAUCUGUCAAAAAGGAAGAACAAACAUAUUAAAAUGGUCAUAUUUAUCGCAGGAAAAAACAUACCAUGGGUAGAGCUUCAAACUCCACUCAUUGAAUUCUGCCAUUGAUCAACACUUACGAGGUGGAGUUCAAGAGUUGGUUGGUGCUUCUCCAAAGAGCUGAGGGCGCGGUGCGGUUGAUUCCGGUUGGUGUACGUAGAGAUUUGCGCUCUUCAGUCGAAUUCAGGUAAUCCUCAGUCUUAGGCGAUUCGGUGCUACGAGGGACUCGGAGGUGGCCACACAACUGCUGAUGUUCACACUUGUUUUUAUUUUACUUUAAAUUAUAAGUUGGGUUUUAUUUUGUAAUAAGGCCUUUAAUUUGGUUUUAAA